AACGAACGCUGGCGGCGUGGAUAAGACAUGCAAGUCGAACGAGACAAAGUUUGUAGUAAUACAAAUUUUGUUUAGUGGCGCACGGGUGCGUAACACGUGAGCAAUCUGCCGGGAAGUGGGGGAUAGCUCGCCGAAAGGCAAUUAAUACCGCAUGUGGCUAGGAAGAUCAUUCUUCUGACGCUAAAGUAGCAAUACGCUUCCUGAUGAGCUCGCGGCCUAUCAGCUAGAUGGCGGGGUAACGGCCCACCAUGGCUAUGACGGGUAGCUGGUCUGAGAGGACGACCAGCCACACUGGAACUGAGACACGGUCCAGACACCUACGGGUGGCAGCAGUCGAGAAUUUUUCACAAUGGGGGAAACCCUGAUGGAGCGACGCCGCGUGGAGGAU
rnacentral:rRNA from 1 species